rnacentral:rRNA from 1 species
GUGGGGAAUCUUCCGCAAUGGGGGAAACCCUGACCCAGCAACGCCGCGUGAAGGACGAAGGCCUUCGGGUUGUAAACUUCUUUGAUCAGGGACGAAACAAAUGACGGUACCUGAGGAACAAGCCACGGCUAACUACGUGCCAGCAGCCGCGGUAAUACGUAGGUGGCAAGCGUUAUCCGGAUUUACUGGGUGUAAAGGGCGUGUAGGCGGUCUUGCAAGUCGGAAGUGAAAUCCUGCGGCUUAACUGCAGAAUUGCUUUGGAAACUGUCAAUCUGGAGUGUUGGAGAGGUAAGCGGAAUUCCUGGUGUAGCGGUGAAAUGCGUAGAUAUCAGGAAGAACACCGGAGGCGAAGGCGGCUUACUGGACAAUAACUGACGUUGAGGCUCGAAAGCGUGGGAAGCAAACAGGAUUAGAUACCCCAGUAGUCC